CAGUAGCCACGGUAAUACGAAGGGGGCUAGCGUUGUUCGGAAUUACUGGGCGUAAAGCGCACGUAGGCGGAUAUUUAAGUCAGGGGUGAAAUCCCGCAGCUCAACUGCGGAACUGCCUUUGAUACUGGGUAUCUUGAGUAUGGAAGAGGUUAGUGGAAUUGCGAGUGUAGAGGUGAAAUUCGUAGAUAUUCGCAGGAACACCAGUGGCGAAGGCGGCUAACUGGUCCAUAACUGACGCUGAGGUGCGAAAGCGUGGGGAGCAAACAGGAUUAGAGACCCCCGUAGUCCCUGUCUCUUAUAC
rnacentral:rRNA from 1 species